AGUGAACGCUGGCGGCGUGCCUAACACAUGCAAGUCGAACGAUGAUGGAGGAGCUUGCUCUUCCUGAUUAGUGGCGCACGGGUGAGUAAUGCAUAGAUAAUGUGCCCCUUAGUUCGGGAUAGCCACUGGGAACGGUGAUUAAUACCGGAUACUCCUUCUUAUCAUAAGAUAAGUCGGGAAAGUUUUUCGCUAAGGGAUCAGUCUAUGUUCCAUCAGUUAGUUGGUGAGGUAACGGCUCACCAAGACAAUGACGGAUAUCUGGUUUGAGAGGAUGAUCAGACACACUGGAACUGAGACACGGUCCAGACUCCUACGGGAGGCAGCAGUGAGGAAUAUUGCACAAUGGAGGAAACUCUGAUGCAGCAACGCCGCGUGGAGGAUGACGCAUUUCGGUGUGUAAACUCCUUUAUUAGGGAAGAUUAUGACGGUACCUAAUGAAUAAGCACCGGCUAACUCCGUGCCAGCCGCCGCCGUAA
rnacentral:rRNA from 1 species